ACCCUGUAGAACCGAAUGUGUG
rnacentral:miRNA from 2 species